rnacentral:rRNA from 1 species
UGAUUAGCUUGUUGGUGAGGUAAUAGCUCACCAAGGCGACGAUCAUUAGCUGGUCUGAGAGGAUGAUCAGCCACACUGGGACUGAGACACGGCCCAGACUCCUACGGGAGGCAGCAGUGGGGAAUCUUGUGCAAUGGACGAAAGUCUGACACAGCCACGCCGCGUGCGGGAAGAAGGCCUUCGGGUCGUAAACCGCUUUCAGCAGGAACGAAAAUGACGGUACCUGCAGAAGAAGGAGCGGCCAACUACGUGCCAGCAGCCGCGGUGAUACGUAGGCUCCAAGCGUUGUCCGGAUUUAUUGGGCGUAAAGAGCUCGUAGGCGGUUCAGCAAGUCGGGUGUGAAAACUCUGGGCUCAACCCAGAGCCUGCACCCGAAACU